GCCAACGUUCCACUAUCCUCGCUUGAGUGGCAUUGAGAAGAUGAGCCAGCUCGGUUCCCAGUCACAUACGUAACCGAAAAAUGAAUCAUCCGUCUCCACUUGCAGCAGUCUCCCAAAACCUCAUCAGAUUUCCUGUGGGGCUGCCCUUCACGGGAUCCAGGGAAGAGAAGUCCUCUAUGCCCAGUAGGGGGCGCUGAAGGGAACACAUGGUUUCUCUUCUUAACACUGUGCUCCCCUAAGAGAUGAAGUCUUUCUGGUUCCUAUUUCUCCUAUUCCACAGUUGAGGGCUUUUAUGCCUGGAAAUCCAGUGUGUGAAAGAAAUGGAAGCAAUGCAACACAUUUGAUUUUUAAAUGCUACGACAGGAGAUCCUCUGGCACUUGGAAAGUAAAUGUGGAAGUUCAAGAAGAGAAGAAAAGCUUUGAGAAACUGUGUGGUAAGGAACAUCGACUCAUUUUUAUCCUGUUGGGAGAAUCACAUUCAUAUAAUGGCUGCCACUGAUCCAAAACAGAUGGACACAGUUUUAGAAAAAUGGUAGGAAUGUUAGAAAUUUGGUUCUUAUCACAAUUUCCCUCUCUCUGUGGGGUCAGUGUCAGCAUCUGAGGUGCCAGAAGCAUUUCACUUGUAACUGGCUUGAACUGAGGGAUGAGAUCAGAGUUUCACUCUAGUAGAAAGACUAGAGUCAGGAAAGACUGGGAAAGAAGAGAGACAGAACUCCAGAGGAUGGCAGUGGUGAAAGCAAGGGCAGGAGAGACGGACUUCAGGCUGACCUGGAUUAAAAGGCAGGAUGAGUGGAAGAAAGGGCACUGUUGGGAGGAAGAUAGCUAAUUAAACCGAGUUCUACCGUAGCCAGCCCCUGGGAAGUGCUGACCCAGACUCCAAAAUGAUUGGCUUGGGGAUGCAAACCACUGCAUAAAUUAUAUUCAAUGAAUAACACAUGGGAAAGGUCCUAGACGCAUACCUGAUGCAUAAUGGAAAUUCAACUAGUAUUAGUUUUCCUUCCCUUCCUGCUCUUGAUGAUGCUACCAGGUGGCACAGAAAACACAUUAUGUGAGUUUGGGUCAAGGCAUCACUGUGACAAUAUUGUCUCAGCAGCAUUUCUAAUGCAGGUAAAAGUUGAGCUCAACGUGUGAAAUGCCGAGUGAGAAAAAUAGCAGUCGUGUGUUAGGAGAGAAAUAAAACCACAGCCUCAGCUGGAGCUGAGAAAGAA
ensembl:lncRNA